UNCGGGUAUGAGUAGAACAAAUGGGGG
rnacentral:piRNA from 1 species